AAUAUUGCACAAUGGAGGUAACUCUGAUGCAGCAACGCCGCGUGAGUGAAGUAGGAUUUCGGUUCGUAAAACUCUGUCAUUGGGGAAGAAUAAAUGACGGUACCCCAGUAGGAAGACCCGGCUACCUACGUGCCAUCAGACGCGGUAAUACGUAGGGGGCGAGCGUUGUCCGGAAUUACUGGGCGUAAAGGGUACGUAGGCGGAUAUAUAAGUCAGGUGUGAAAUACCAGUGCUUAACACUGGAAUUGCAUUUGAAACUGUGUAGCUUGAGUGCAGGAGAGGAAAGUGGAAUUCCUAGUGUAGCGGUGAAAUGCGUAGAGAUUAGGAGGAACACCAGUGGCGAAGGCGACUUUCUGGACUGUAACUGACGCUGAGGUACGAAAGCGUGGGUAGCGAACA
rnacentral:rRNA from 1 species